GUUUUAAUAGUUUAAAAUUAAUAAAACAAUGAUUUUGUAAAUCAUAAAUAGGUAAACCUUUAAAACU
rnacentral:tRNA from 1 species